rnacentral:rRNA from 1 species
AACGGCCGCGGUAUUCUAACCGUGCAAAGGUAGCGUAAUCACUUGUCUUCUAAAUAAAGACCAGUAUGAACGGCUAAAUGAGGACAAACCUGUCUCCUACGACAAAUCAGUGAAACUGAUCUUCCAGUACAAAAGCUGGAAUAAACACAUAAGACGAGAAGACCCUGUGGAGCUUACAAACAUAAGGUCAACAAGGCAAACCACAAAACCAACAAUGACCCUGCGUUUUAAGUUGGGGCGACUUCGGAAAAAACAGAACUUCCGAGAACGGGGCCACCAGCCCCUGCUAAGGAAUACAACCCAAAGCAUCAACAUAUAAAAGACCCAGUCAAACUGAUUAACGAACCAAGUUACCCCAGGGAUAACAGCGCUAUCUUCUUCAAGAGUCCAUAUCGACAAGAAGGUUUACGACCUCGAUGUUGGAUCAGGACACCCAAAUGGUGCAGCAGCUAUUAAAGGUUCGUUUGUUCAACGAUUAACAGUCCUACGUGAUC